rnacentral:rRNA from 1 species
ACGCUGACAGAAUGCUUAACACAUACAAGUCUAUGAGGAAGUUUAGCUUGCUAAAUGGACUCAUGGCGGACGGGUGAGUAACGCGUAAAGAACUUGCCCUUUAGACUGGGAUAACAGAGGGAAACUUCUGAUAAUACUGGAUAAGUUAGUAUAUCGCAUGAUAUGCAAAUGAAAGCUACGGCACUAAAGGAGAGCUUUGCGUCCUAUUAGCUAGUUGGUAAGGUAAGAGCUUACCAAGGCGAUGAUAGGUAGCCGGCCUGAGAGGGUGGACGGCCACAAGGGGACUGAGAUACGGCCCUUACUCCUACGGGAGGCAGUAGUGGGGAAUAUUGGACAAUGGAGGGAACUCUGAUCCAGCAAUUCUGUGUGUGUGAAGAAGGUUUUAGGACUGUAAAACACUUUUAGUAGGGAAGAAAAAAAUGACGGUACCUACAGAAGAAGCAACGGCUAAAUACGUGCCAGCAGCCGCGGUAAUACGUAUGUUGCGAGCGUUAUCCGGAAUUAUUGGGCUUAAAGGGCAUCUAGGCGGUAAGACAAGUUGAAGGUGAAAACCUGUGGCUCAACCAUAGGCUUGCCUACAAAACUGUUGAACUAGAGUACUGGAAAGGUGGGUGGAACUACACGAGUAGAGGUGAAAUUCGUAGAUAUGUGUAGGAAUGCCGAUGAUGAAGAUAACUCACUGGACAGAAACUGACGCUGAAGUGCGAAAGCUAGGGGAGCAAACAGGAUUAGAUACCCUGGUAGUCCUGGCUGUAAACGAUGAUCACUGGGUGUGGGGAUGCGAAGUCUCUGUGCCGAAGCAAAAGCGAUAAGUGAUCCGCCUGGGGAGUACGUUCGCAAGAAUGAAACUCAAAGGAAUUGACGGGGGCCCGCACAAGUGGUGGAGCAUGUGGUUUAAUUCGACGCAACGCGAGGAACCUUACCAGAUCUUGAC